rnacentral:rRNA from 1 species
CCUACGGUGGGCUGCAGUGGGGAAUAUUGGGCAAUGGACGCAAGUCUGACCCAGCAACGCCGCGUGAAGGAAGAAGGCUUUCGGGUUGUAAACUUCUUUUAAGGGGGAAGAGCAGAAGACGGUACCCCUUGAAUAAGCCACGGCUAACUACGUGCCAGCAGCCGCGGUAAUACGUAGGUGGCAAGCGUUGUCCGGAUUUACUGGGUGUAAAGGGCGUGCAGCCGGAGAGACAAGUCAGAUGUGAAAUCCACGGGCUCAACGUGGGAACUGCCUUUGAAACUGGCAAACUGGAGUGUGUGAGAGGAUAGUGGAAUUCCAGGUGUAGGAGUGAAAUCCGUAGAUAUCUGGAGGAACAUCAGUGGCGAAGGCGACUAUCUGGCACAUAACUGACGCUGAGGAGCGAAAGCGUGGGUAGCAAACAGGAUUAGAUACCCCUGUAGUC